rnacentral:rRNA from 1 species
AGUGAACGCUGGCGGUAGGCCUAACACAUGCAAGUCGAACGGCAGCACAGUAAGAGCUUGCUCUUACGGGUGGCGAGUGGCGGACGGGUGAGGAAUACAUCGGAAUCUACUUUUUCGUGGGGGAUAACGUAGGGAAACUUACGCUAAUACCGCAUACGACCUACGGGUGAAAGCAGGGGAUCUUCGGACCUUGCGCGAUUGAAUGAGCCGAUGUCGGAUUAGCUAGUUGGCGGGGUAAAGGCCCACCAAGGCGACGAUCCGUAGCUGGUCUGAGAGGAUAAUAGCCACAGCGGGAACGGAGACACGGUCCAGACCCCUAGGGGAGGAAGCGGGGGGGAAUUUUGGAAAAGGGGGGAAAGCCUGAUCAGGCCGGACCGGGGGGGGGAAGAAGGCCUUCGGGUUGUAAAGCCCUUUUUUUGGGAAAAAAAAGCAGCGGGUUAAUACCCCGCUGUUCUGACGGAACCCAAAAAAAAAGCACCGGCAAACUUGGG